UGGGGAAUUUUGGACAAUGGGGGAAACCCUGACCCAGCAACGCCGCGUGAAGGAUGAAGUAUUUCGGUAUGUAAACUUCGAAAGAAUAGGAAGAAUAAAUGACGGUACUAUUUAUAAGGUCCGGCUAACUACGUGCCAGCAGCCGCGGUAAUACGUAGGGACCAAGCGUUGUUCGGAUUUACUGGGCGUAAAGGGCGCGUAGGCGGCAUGACAAGUCACUUGUGAAAUCUCUGGGCUUAACCCAGAACGGCCAAGUGAUACUGUCGCGCUAGAGUGCAGAAGGGGCAAUCGGAAUUCUUGGUGUAGCGGUGAAAUGCGUAGAUAUCAAGAGGAACACCUGAGGUGAAGACGGGUUGCUGGGCUGACACUGACGCUGAGGCGCGAAAGCCAGGGGAGCAAACGGGAUUAGAUACCCGUGUAGUCCCUGAGCGGGCUGGCAAGGCGCAU
rnacentral:rRNA from 1 species